AUGAUGACCCACAAACUAAUAGAUAGAUGGCCAUCGCACAAGCAAAAAUGCGAGCCAUCCAAUACAAAUUAUUAUUCACUAUCCAAGCCAAUUAAUUGACAUUUAUAAGAUACACACACACAAUUAUAGUAAUGCUCUAGCGCUAACUAGUUAAAAACCAAAUACGGAGGUAAGCACUCGUUAGUAAUGUUAGGGAGACCAAAUUUUGUAAACCAAAUUUGCAAACCAAAUGAUGUGGUUGUAGAUUUUUGGAUUAUUAAUUAAGUAUCGUUUAACGUGCUUAUUUUUUAUUCGUGAUACAUCAUUUUGUUUGUAAAUUUGGUUUAAAAAUUUAGUCUCUCUAACGUUAUCAUUUAGUAGUUUAACUAUUGUUUUGAACAUUUUUUAUUUUCAUGAUUGCCUUUUAGAUAACCAAGUAGAUUUUCAAUUUCUGUGAUUAUUUUGAAGGGAUGAUUUUCCAGUGAUACCCUAACAAAAAGGAUACUGGGAGACCAAAAUUUUAAACAAAAUUUGCAAACCAAAUGACGUUUUACCAUAGAAAAUAAGCAGGGUAAUCAAUACUUAAGUAAUAAUCUAAUCAUCAAGAACCACAUCAUUUAGUUUACAAAUUAGGUUUAAAACAUUUGGUUUUCUUAACAUUAUCCUAAAAAAAAUCAGUUCAAAUUAUGAUAAAUAUUAUAAAGUGGAUCCAAACAGGUGAUUAGCUGAUUAGCGUUUGAACUCGUGUAGAUGAAUAUGCCAAAUGUGGCAUGCUUUGGGAGAAGAAUGCGAGAGAGAGACAUCAGAAACACACCUGAUAAUUUAGUUUGUUGAUUGCUUUGCUACAAAAGGAAUCAUUAUCAUGCUUAAUGAAUGACUUAGUACUGGUUUGGUACUAAAAAAUGGGUAUAAAAAAAAGUUGAGCUCAAAAAAGUGUUUGGUAAACACUUAAAAAUAGCUUAUUUUCACAUUUUUACGUGAAAAAAAGCUGAAAACAUGAAGCAGGAAAAAUAAAUUUAUUCUCACAGCACAGCAGAAACAAUUUUUUUUUCUUUUCAAAGCACAACAAUACCAAACCAAUCUUUAGUUUUAUACUUUGACAAAAAAAAAAAAAAGACUUAGUUUUAUACUUUAAAAUUAAGAGAAUUUGUUGUAAUCACGGCAUGAUUACAUCUUACACUAUGUUUGGAUGAGGAAAAUAAAUUUAGAAUUUGGAUAAAAGUCAGAAUUUGUAAAUUGACAUGCACCAAUUCUCUUGUUUGGAUUUAUAAACAUAGAAAUUUAGAAUUUCCGCUAGGAAAAAAAAACUUGGAAUUUGGGACCUCCAAUUUCCAAGUUUAAAUUUCAUGUAAAUAGGUGUCAUUUCCCAAUUUCUAUGAUUGAGAGCUUAAAAAUAAAAAAUUCCAUAUUCAAUUCCAUUGUUCUUUUAGGUUAACGAAACAAGAAAAUUCACAAUUUCUAGAAAAUAAAAUAUUGUCAAUUCAAUUUCCGUCAUUUUAAAAUUUCUUAGUAAUCUUAAAUUUCUUUUUCCAAACAUAGUGUUAAAGUCUCCAAGACGUUGCAAAAUCUUAUCAACUUUGGCUUUUCCUUGAGGUUUCAAUUUUAUUUAAUUAAUAAACUCCGUAUGCAUCGUGAUGGACAAGUGCAAAGAAAAUGGUACAUAACGAAAGUUGAUAAAAUUGAAACAUUGAUAAACUUGUAACGAAAGUUGAUACAUAAUCUAGAUGCAUGGACAAGUGCAAAGAAAAGGAUACACUCCUUUAGGGGGUUAUAUUCAAUUAGGAUUAUGUGAGGUUAUAAAGGAGUGUAAAAAUUCAUGGGUAUUCAAUUAAGAUUUUAAAUGAAUCAAUUAAAUGCAUGUUGUAUUCAAUUUAGAUUUAUAAAGAGUCAAUCAAAAUUUGGUGGUAUUCAAUCUAGAUUUUUAGAGUGACUUUCCAAACCUGAGAGUCUUAAAAAAAUCAGGGAAUUUGUAGGAUUCAAUGAAUUUGUUGAUUUUGAUGCAUUCUAGGGUGUGAGGUAUAAAUAUCAAAGGCGUUCACAAAUCAGGCACCCCUCUCCAUAUUUCAAUGUGAUUCCUCAUUGUCAAAGCAUACCACAGAAUAUGAACUUCUUCUUCUUCAAAAGUCUCUUCUCCGGGUAAUACACACACAAUAUGCUAUGUCUCAUACUGUAAAUCUUUUGAUUAGGGUUCUAAUUAUCGUGUUUAUUUGUGAGUUUGCAUUUUUUUUUCUUUUUUUACUUACACCAUGGAUUAUGUGGGUAUUGGUUUAUUUGAAGACACAUUGAAAUCGGAAGAACUAUUGAAAAUUGCAAGUUCUUCCGAUGGGUAUUUCCAGACUCCAAUAAUUUGAUAAAUGUAUUUGGCAUGGAGGAACAACUUUUGGGAACAACUCAGUUGGAUUGGGUGAAGACACUUAUUCUGGAACAUAUCAAGUGGGAAAGAAAUACAAGAGAAAAAAAUAUUAGUGUCGUAAUAGAGGACUAUGUUAUUGAUGGCAAUACUGACACAAACGUGUAAAGUCAAGCUGUGGAAGAUGACUACAUUUUUCUUGGACACAAAUUUGGAGCCUUCCAUAACAAAACUCCCUCAAAGAAUGAGACCUAGAAUAGAUUACGAAGCAAAUAGUACCUCAGGUGAGACUGUCACUCUAGCAACUCUAAUUGAAAAAAGUUUAAAUUGGUAUGGAUUCAAUUGAGGCAAUUGCUAAUAAAGUUUGAGGAAUGCAAAGCCUAGUAGAUAAAAGAGAGAGACAGGGAGAUAGAAAAGAAAAACAAUGACUUUUAGAAUCCGUAAUAAAAAAAAAAAACUACCUAAUGACUAUUAGACUCCUUAAAAAUGCAUUGAACUUCAUAACAAAUUCAUACCAAAUCUUUCAACAAUUCACCGGAUUUUAUGUGAAUCAAUUAAAAUCCAUGAAAUCCAUGAGAGUUAAUAAUUACACAAAACUCUAUUAGAAUCCUAAUUGAUUACACCCUCCUAAGUGUUCUUGUUUCUUUAUUCCCACUCUUUGAUUUUUUUUUUGUUGCAAAAAAUGGGGCUAAAAACAAAAAAAAACUCAAACAAAACUAAUAAAUCUAGACCAGGACAUUUUAAGUCGAUCUUCACAAAUAAAACUAACUGAACAACAACAAAGUAUUAAAUCUAAAUCAAGAUUAUAGUUUGUUUGUACUAUACUUAGGGCCUCCGUAUUUAGACCUCGUAUAAAUACUCGGGGGACUCAAAUGUAAUUAUGUAAUAAAUGAAGGGGCAAAUAUGUAAUAAGUGAAGAGCCCUUAUUCUAUAAAAGGACUCCUCACUCUCCUCGUUAGGGGAAAGGCCAAGUUUAGGCCAUGGGAAGAGAGAAAAUAGGCUAGAGAGCACACUGCCUCUAGCCUUUUUGUAUAUUCACCAUUCAGAGUGAAACAAUAUCAACAUCAGUGUGGACGUAGCCCAAACAUUAGGAUGAACCACGAUACAUCUUGUGUUCUUUACUUUCUUGCAGAUUCACGGUCGAUU
rnacentral:lncRNA from 1 species